UACGCAACCUUCCCCGAACAGGUGAAUAGCCCUGCGAAAGUAGGAUUAAUACACCGUAUGAUAUGGAUGUGGCAUCACGACUAUAUUAAAGGUAGCAAUACCGGUUCGGGAUGGGCGUGCGCCUGAUUAGGUAGUUGGUGUGGGUAACGGCCCACCAAGCCUUCGAUCAGUAACUGGUGUGAGAGCACGACCAGUCACACGGGCACUGAGACACGGGCCCG
rnacentral:rRNA from 1 species